UCAUGGCAAGAAAUAAUUGGCUUGUGACAAUCAACAUUGAAGCUGGAAAAAUGACAGCAUCCGAACGAGUAGACACAGCCCUAAUCAAGGCAAUAAACUACACUAAAGACAGAGGAGAAAGACUUAAAAUUGUUCCAACAUUUAUUCACAUCACUCCAGCUGACAGCCAGCCAACAAACUACCAGACACGUGAGCCCAACCAAGACCAGAAGAACCGUCCCACAGAGCCUAGUCUAAAUUGCCAACAUGCAAAUGCAUGACCACAGCAAAGUAAUCUUACAGCCCAGGACUCAGCUGCUGCAAUCUCUGUGAAAGGUACUUAUGACUAAUGCUGAUGCCACCAUGAAGCUCAGGAAUAAUUUACAGGGACAUGGGCUGUUCUGAGACCCCACAGCCAUGAAUCGCCUGAUCAUUCUGACAGAUUUCUGCAGAUGCUGUGCUUAGGUCACUGAGUUUCCCAGUUGUCAGUGGUGAACUGCAGCGGAGGCAGAAGGAAACUCUUCAGACACACUGUUCCUUUCAGGAAACAAGGGACAAAAGGGCUGCCCUGAGGAGACUUGGGAAAGCGACAUUUCCUCAAGCUCGAGGACAUCCCGAGGUGACUUUCCAAAACACUGGGUUAAAUUGGCCUGAUUGUU